GGUACUCGAGUGGCGAACGGGUGAGUAGCACGUGGGUGAUCUGCCCUGCACUUCGGGAUAAGCCUGGGAAACUGGGUCUAAUACCGGAUAGGAGCCAUUUUUAGUGUGAUGGUUGGAAAGUUUUUCGGUGUAGGAUGAGCUCGCGGCCUAUCAGCUUGUUGGUGGGGUAAUGGCCUACCAAGGCGGCGACGGGUAGCCGGCCUGAGAGGGUGGACGGCCACAUUGGGACUGAGAUACGGCCCAG
rnacentral:rRNA from 1 species